CCCUUAGAUGUCCUGGGCCGCACGCGCGCUACACUGACUGGUGCAACAAGUGUCGCUCCUUGGCCGAUAGGCCUGGGCAAUCUUUGAACGCCAGUCGUGAUGGGGAUAGAUUCUUGCAAUUUUUGAUCUUCAACGAGGAAUUCCUAGUAAACGCGAGUCAUCAACUCGCAUUGAUUACGUCCCUGCCCUUUGUACACACCGCCCGUCGCACCUACCGAUUGAAUGGUCCGGUGAACCCUCCGGAUCGGCUCGCGCCAACGCAAGUUGAGCAAAGGCCGAGAAGUUGGGUAAACCUUACCAUUUAGAGGAAGGUGAAGUCGUAACA
rnacentral:rRNA from 1 species